rfam:Gossypium hirsutum cultivar TM-1 chromosome 16, whole genome shotgun sequence
AAUGGAAGUAUGACUAAUCAAAUUUUUCUUUCUGAUUUUCAGCUUUUUCCACUUGAAAAAAAUUCAAAUCCAACUAAAAAUGCUAAAGAUCAGGAGGAAAAAGUUGAUUUGUCAUCCUCCCAUU